AUUGAACGCUGGCGGCAGGCCUAACACAUGCAAGUCGAGCGGAUGAAGGGAGCUUGCUCCUGGAUUCAGCGGCGGACGGGUGAGUAAUGCCUAGGAAUCUGCCUGGUAGUGGGGGAUAACGUCCGGAAACGGGCGCUAAUACCGCAUACGUCCUGAGGGAGAAAGUGGGGGAUCUUCGGACCCCACGCUAUCAGAUGAGCCUAGGUCGGAUUAGCUAGUUGGUGGGGUAAAGGCCUACCAAGGCGACGAUCCGUAACUGGUCUGAGAGGAUGACCAGUCACACUGGAACUGAGACACGGUCCAGACUCCUACGGGAGGCAGCAGUGGGGAAUAUUGGACAAUGGGCGAAAGCCUGAUCCAGCCAUGCCGCGUGUGUGAAGAAGGUCUUCGGAUUGUAAAGCACUUUAAGUUGGGAGGAAGGGCAGUAAGUUAAUACCUUGCUGUUUUGACGUUACCAACAGAAUAAGCACCGGCUAACUUCGUG
rnacentral:rRNA from 1 species